rnacentral:rRNA from 1 species
AUUGAACGCUGGCGGCAGGCCUAACACAUGCAAGUCGAACGAGUGGCGGACGGGUGAGUAAUGUAUGGGAAACUGCCUGAAGGAGGGGGAUAACUACUGGAAACGGUAGCUAAUACCGCAUACCAUCGGAUGUGCCCAGAUGGGAUUAGCUAGUAGGUGGGGUAAGGGCUCACCUAGGCGACGAGCCCUAGCUGGUCUGAGAGGAUGACCGGCAACACUGGAACUGAGACACGGUCCAGACUCCUACGGGAGGCAGCGUUGGGGAAUAUUGCACAAUGGGCGAAAUCCUGAUGCAGCCAUGCCGCGUGUAUGAAGAAGGCCUUCGGGUUGUAAAGUACUUUCAGCGGGGAGGCGUUACCCGCAGAAGAAGCACCGGCUAACUCCGUGCCAGCAGCCGCGGUAAUUC